rnacentral:rRNA from 1 species
CCCUUAGAUGUUCUGGGCUGCACACGUGCUACACUGGCAGGUUCAGCGAGCUUCAUGCCCUGAUCUGAAAGGAAUGGGAAAUCUUUUCAAAACCUGCCGUGCUUGGGAUAGAUGUUUGCAAUUAUUCAUCUUCAACGAGGAUUGCCUUGUAAGCGCACGUCAUCAGCGUGCAUUGAAUACGACCCUGUAUUCUGUACACACCGCCCGUCGCUCCUACCGAUUGAAGUUUUCGGUGAGUUGACAGGAGGAUUUUUUUGAAACUGGUUCGCCAGUGGAUUUUAGAUACAAAUGCCAACGAAUCGAUGGCUUUAGAGGAAGGAGAAGUCGUAACA